ACGGGUGAGUAACGCGUAGGAACAUAUCCAGAGGUGGGGGACAACCCCGGGAAACUGGGGCUAAUACCGCAUAUCAGCUGAGGCUGAAAGCAGUGAUGCGCCUUUGGAGUGGCCUGCGUCCGAUUAGCUUGUUGGUGGGGUAAUGGCUUACCAAGGCGUCGAUCGGUAGCUGGUCUGAGAGGACGACCAGCCACACUGGGACUGAGACACGGCCCAGACUCCUACGGGAGGCAGCAGUGGGGAAUAUUGGACAAUGGGCGCAAGCCUGAUCCAGCAAUGCCGCGUGGGUGAAGAAGGUCUUCGGAUCGUAAAGCCCUUUCGACGGGGACGAUGAUGACGGUACCCGUAGAAGAAGCCCCGGCUAACUUCGUGCCAGCAGCCGCGGUAAUACGAAGGGGGCUAGCGUUGCUCGGAAUUACUGGGCGUAAAGGGCGCGUAGGCGGCUCGUUUAGUCAGGCGUGAAAUUCCCGGGCUCAACCUGGGGACUGCGCUUGAUACUGGCGAGCUUGAGGAUGGAAGAGGCUCGUGGAAUUCCCAGUGUAGAGGUGAAAUUCGUAGA
rnacentral:rRNA from 1 species